UGGGCGAGUAUUCUUUGUUGAGGCGCCCAACCGAGAACAACGAGACCCUGGCUCUGCGUCACGGCUGGCAAAACCAGGAGGCAGUAAAUCUGAACUAUCCACACCUUGUGGCUUCCUCAGAAUCCAGAGGAAAGCCAUUUGCAGGUGCUGGCCCAGCUCGAGUCAGUGGAUGCCUGUUCGCUCUCUUCUGUCAUCGGAGGGAGUAAUCCAAUAGCUCCUCACCAAAACGAAGCUGCUUUCCUCAACAACCUUCGCCAAACGUUGGC